rnacentral:rRNA from 1 species
AGAGUUUGAUCCUGGCUCAGGAUGAGCGCUAGCUACAGGCUUAACACAUGCAAGUCGAGGGGAAACGACAUCGAAAGCUUGCUUUUGAUGGGCGUCGACCGGCGCACGGGUGAGUAACGCGUAUCCAACCUGCCCACCACUUGGGGAUAACCUUGCGAAAGUAAGACUAAUACCCAAUGACGUCUCUAGAAGACAUCUGAAAGAGAUUAAGGAUUUAUCGGUGAUGGAUGGGGAUGCGUCUGAUUAGCUUGGUUGGCGGGGUAACGGCCCACCAAGGCGACGAUCAGUAGGGGUUCUGAGAGGAAGGUCCCCCACAUUGGAACUGAGACACGGUCCAAACUCCUACGGGAGGCA